UACGAAGGGUGCAAACGUUAUUCGGAAUCACUGGGCGUAAAGGGUGCGUAGACGGUAUGUUAAGUUCGUCGUUAAAGGCUCCGGCCUAACCGGAGUACCGCGAUGAAAACUGGCGUACUAGAGGGUGAGAGAGAGAAGUGGAAUUCCUGGAGUAGCGGUAAAAUGCGUGGAUCUCAGGAGGAACACCAAUGGCGAAGGCAGCUUCUUGGCUCAUUCCUGACGUUGAGGCACGAAAGCGUGGGGAGCAAACAGG
rnacentral:rRNA from 1 species